UAAUAAUUUGUUAAUGCCAGAUCCCAUUAACAAGAAUUGCUCCUCCCGCACCACACAAUGUUACGUUGUUAACAGCAUUCUGUUAAUAACAUCACCCAGUUCUCCUACUGGUUCGCGGUACUUAGCGCCCGCUGAGUACUUCGACUUGCCUCACUUGCCUCUCCUGCUUUAAUCUUAGAAAUAAAGACGAGGAAAUUA